AGUGCUUACUGUAACCUUCAUUCAAUAUAUCCUAGCACCUUAGUGGAUGUAGCCCAGUUUUAAGCCGUGAACCACUUAAAUCUUGUUGCUUAAUUCUUAUUUUUUCUACCCUGAGGUCACUUAGGGCUGACCACAUUGAUCUUUGUUAACGUUCUAAAUUUCAGCGUUAACAUUUUAGCAUUGUCUAUGGGAAACACAUAUAAUUUGGUUGUGUUUACCACCAAGCAACUCUAAGAAUGCCCUAUGGUGAGCAGUCAUACACUCUCAAGUAUCAUGAUAGACAGAAGAGCAUAAAAAAGAGCCCUAUCCUGCGACAUUGAGAGACCCACAUGACAAAGGGAACAAGAGAAAAUGACCAAGGUGAUGACUAAACACUUUGCGGGGUCAUCUACCUCACUUGUGAAAUCGCCAGCAACAGACCCGAGGGAUGAAUAGAGUUGGGAACAUCCCGAACCUAUGAAAGAAUUGGAUACUAUUAUUCUGUUGAAGAAAUGUUCAACUACAAUAGUAUAGAUUGGCACUAAGUUUGUCAACCUAAAGCCCCACAUUGGCUGAGCGCCAAUACUCUCCAAACCCAAGCAUGGUAAGCCACUUUAUAUGUAUUUAUCAAUUUCACCAUAAAAAAUUAGCUUUGUGCUUAUAAAGAAAGAAUAAGUGCAACGACCAGUGUACUAGGUCAGCUAAGCACUAUAAGGGGUCGAACCAUGAUAUUCGGAGGUCGUAAAUCUGGCACUUACCCUCAUAAUGUCAGCCUGAUCCAGCUACCUUGUCCGGCAAGUGGUGAACAAACCUGAGGUCUUGGGUUGCACUACAACCCGAAGUUUAUGACAGUUGCAUUAAAACACAAACUGUCAUUUAUAGCAUGCUAAAAAGACUAUAAUAGGAUAUAAUAGUGUUUUAGAAAGCUUGGGUGUUUGGUGUUUUUACAGUAGCUUAGAGAGAAAGACUUGAAGGCAAGAGAGUGGGAAGCUUCAAGUUAGGUUUGUGACUUGUGCUGCAACACUCGCAAGGGCCUAGAAAGAGCUUUCAAGUUGCUAAGAGAAAGUUCUCAUAUGCAUGCAGUUGAGCAUGGUCUCUUUCCUUCUCCACCUUACUCUGUUCUUGGCUCUCUUUUUAUCGAAGGUGAAACUCUUUUUACUCAUGUUGGGUGAAAGGGGGUGUCAAAAGCUAUUUGUUUUCAACGGGUAAUAAAAAUGAAUUCAAAUAAAAAGAUGCUUUGGAAAUUGCUUAUUUCCAAUGGUAAAACAAGGGAUCUAAAUCUUCUUAUGUCCUUCAGAUAAAAGGAGACGCUUUAUUUCCAAUAGAUAAAACAAUGGUCGGAAUCUUUUUGUGUCCUAUAGGUCUAACAUAUUCAUUUUACUUGUAAGUAGGAUAUCAUAAAUUUGACUCACAUGAUAGUGUGGUUGCCGAAUGAAAAUUUUAUUUGAUCCCAUAUAAUGACUCUGUUGAUGCACAAAAUUAGUGAGGACUUUGGUAAAACAGAAAGUGUUAAGUUUGUGACCUUCGCUAGAUUGCUUCGGUCACUAGUAUGGAUAAGUAUGUAAAUGGAUAGAGAUAGGGAAGCAAACACAAGAUGUAUAUGGUUCACCCAGAUUGGCUACGUCCACGGAGUAGAGGAGUUCUCAUUAAUUGUGAAGGGUU
rnacentral:lncRNA from 1 species